CACCGCUCGACACUAACUAGUGUCGGACGACGGCACCGCAGUGGUUAGCGCCUUAGGUUAUGAAUGUUCGGAACCCGGGUUCAAAUCCCGGCGACUGGAGUCCGAUUUUUCUUCCACGCAUCUAAAUUAG